rnacentral:rRNA from 1 species
UACAGAGGUCUCAAGCGUUGUUCGGAUUCAUUGGGCGUAAGCGUGCGUAGACGGUUAUGUAAGUCGGGUGUGAAAGCCCCGGGCUCAACCUGGGAAUGCCAUUCGAGACUGCAUAGCUAGGGUGCGGAAGAGGGAAGCGGAAUUUCCGGUGUAGCGGUGAAAUGCGUAGAUAUCGGAAGGAACACCAGUGGCGAAAGCGGCUUCCUGGUCCAGCACCGACGUCAGGCACGAAAGCGUGGGGAGCAAACAGGG